ensembl:lncRNA
AGGUCUGAGAGUGGGGGGGGGACAGCCGGCCCCGCCCACACCCCUCCAAGCCCACACUGCAGCGGCUCUGUCAUGGAGUAAAACAGAACCAGGCCCAUCUCAGAGCCCCAGGAGGGUCCUGUGUGGGAGGCUGCGCCCAGCAGGGGACAGACCAGCAUGGGCUGGAGGGGAAGCCUCCAGCAUGGGAGGGAGCCGGGAGAGUGCAGGGGGGACUCUGGGGCCCCCAGUCAGGCAACCCAAGACCCCAGCUCUGCAGCCGCAGGAGUUACGAGUGCCCAGAUCCCCUUGAGGAGCCCUCCUGGCUGACGACAGGAAUAUGCAAGACGGGGCCGCGGGGGCCUGCGGGCGUGGCGCACCAAGCCGGAGACCACCUUGGGCUGGAGCCCAGCACGGCCACCGCCUCGUCUCGGCUAUCCAGCUUGGGACAGCGUCCAGCCCCAGCUCCAUGGACACAGACCGUCCCCUCAGGGACACCCCAGCCUCUGACGGGGCUGCCAUGAGGGCAGAAUGUGGCCAGGGACUCCCAGCCCGUCGCACGUCCCCCACCUCCACUGACAACCUCCGAGAUACACACAUCUCUUCCAGCUUUGUGUCCGCCGCUGGACGGGACCCCCGCUGCCCAUGUGGAUGGCAGGGGACGGGGGCGCCAAGGGCCCCCACAGCCACACACGGC